CAACCCUUCUGCACCUGACAACAUCCACAACUCAAUCUCCCAAGAAAUGCGCAUACGAAGCUCAGAAGCAACGAUCGUUGAGCGCUGAAAGACGCAUCCGUCAUGCUCCUUCCACAACAUCCAGAAGUAAGGAGGACGAUGCAGCCGAAGCCCUUCCUUUGCACCUUAGGGAUUAGAGCAACUCCAAUGGGGCGACUAAUUUCUGUUGGAAAUAUGCCCUAGAGCAAUAAUAAAUUAGUUAUUAUUAUAUUUCCUUGUUCAUGAUAAUCGUUUAUUAUCCAUUCUAUAAUUGUAUUAUAGGAAACUCAGAUACAUGUGUGGGUACAUAGACAACACCAUGUCCCUAGUAAGCCUCUAGUUGACUAGCUCGUUGAUCAAUAGAUCGUUACGGUUUCUUGACCAUGGACAUUGGAUGUCGUUGAUAACGGGAUCACAUCAUUAGGAGAAUGAUGUGAUGGACAAGACCCAAUCCUAAGCCUAGCACAAAGAUCGUAGUUCGUAUGCUAAAGCUUUUCUAAUGUCAAGUAUCAUUUCCUUAGACCAUGAGAUUGUGCAACUCCCGGAUACCGUAGGAAUGCUUUGGGUGUACCAAAUGUCACAACAUAACUGGGUGGCUAUAAAGGUGCACUACAGGUAUCUCUGAAAGUGUCUGUUGGAUUGGCACGAAUCAAGACUGGGAUUUGUCACUCCGGUUGACGGAGAGGUAUCUCUGGGCCCACUCGGUAGGACAUCAUCAUAAUGUGCACAAUGUGACCAAGGGGUUGAUCACGGGAUGAUGUGUUACAGAACGAGUAAAGAGACUUCCCGGUAACGAGAUUGAACAAGGUAUUGGCAUACCGACGAUCGAAUCUCGGGCAAGUACAAUACCGUUAGACAAAGGGAAUUGUAUGCGGGAUUGCUUGAAUCCUUGACAUCGUGGUUCAUCCGAUGAGAUCAUCGUGGAACAUGUGGGAGCCAACAUGCGUAUCCAGAUCCCGCUGUUGGUUAUUGACCGGAGAACGUCUCGGUCAUGUCUGCAUGGUUCCCGAACCCGUAGGGUCUACACACUUAAGGUUCGAUGACGCUAGGGUUAUAAAGGAAGUUUGUAUGUGGUUACUGAAUGUUGUUCGGAGUCCCGGAUGAGAUCCCGGACAUCACGAGGAGUUCCGGAAUGGUCCGAAGGUAAAGAUUUAUAUAUGGGAAGUCCUGUUUUGUCACCGGAAAAGUUUCGGGUUUUAUCGGUAACGUACCGGGACCACCGGGAGGGUCCCGGGGGUCCACCAAGUGGGGCCACCAUCCCCGGAGGGCUGCAUGGGCCAAGUGUGGGAGGGAAUCAGCCCCAGGUGGGCUGGUACGCCCCCCACAAGGGCCCAAGUCGCCUAGGGUUUGGGGAGGGGGCGCCUCCACCUGACUUGGGGGGGGGGGGGGCAAGUUUCCCCCUCUCCCCCCUUGGCCGCCCCCCUAGAUGGGAUCUAGGGCUGGUCGCCGCCCGAGGGGUGGAAACCUAGGUGGGGGCGCAGACCCCUCUCCCCCUAUAUAUAGUGGAGGCAAAGGAGCAACCCCACACACGAAGUUCUUCUCCUGUUGGCGCAGCCCUACCUCUCUUUCUCCUCAUAUCUCGCGGUGCUUGGCGAAGCCCUGCAGGAUUGCCACGCUCCUCCACCACCACCACGCCGUUGUGCUGCUGCUGGACGGAGUCUUCCCCAACCUCUCCCUCUCUCCUUGCUGGAUCAAGGCAUGGGAGACGUCACCGGGCUGUACGUGUGUUGAACGCGGAGGUGUCGUCCGUUCGGCACUAGGAUCUCCGGUGAUUUGGAUCACGACGAGUACGACUCCUUCAACCCUGUUCUCUUGAACGCUUCCGCUUAGCAAUCUUGAAGGGUAUGUAGAUGCACUCUCCUUCCCCUCGUUGCUGGUUUCUCCAUAGAUAGAUCUUGGUGAUACGUAGGAAAAUUUUGAAUUUCUGCUACGUUCCCCAAUACUGGCAUCAUGAGCUAGGUCUAUUGCGUAGAUUCUUUGCACGAGUAGAAUUGAUUUUUUUUCAAUAUGAUUACUGUUACUAGUCCAAUCUUGUUUCGACGGUAUUGUGUGAUGAAGCGGCCCGAACUGACCUUACACGUACACUUACGUGAGACAGGUUCCACCAACUGACAUGCACUUGGUGCAUAAGGUGGCUAGCGGGUGGCAGUCUCUCCCACUUUAGUCGGAACAGAUUCGAAAAAAGGGUCCUUAUGAAGGGUAAAUAGCAAUUGGCAUAUCACGUUGUGGUUUUGCGUAGGUAAGAAACGUUCUUGCUAGAAACCCAUAGCAGCCACGUAAAACUUGCAAACAACAAUUAGAGGACGUCUAACUUGUUUCUACAGGGUAUGCUAUGUGAUGUGAUAUGGCCAGGAAGAAUGUGAUGAAUGAUAUGUGAUGUAUGAGAUUGAUCAUGUUCUUGUAACAGGAAUCACGACUUGCAUGUCGAUGAGUAUGACAACCGGCAGGAGCCAUAGGAGUUGUCUUAAUUUAUUGUAUGACCUGCGUGUCAUUGAACAAACGCCAUGUAAUUACUUUACUUUAUUGCUAACCGGUAGCCAUAGUAGUAGAAGUAAUAAGUUGGCGAGACAACUUCAUGGAGACACGAUGAUAGAGAUCAUAGUGUAAUGCCGGUGACGAUGAUGAUCAUGGAGCCCCGAAGAUGGAGAUCAAAAGGAGCAAAAUGAUAUUGGCCAUAUCAUGUCACUAUUUGAUUGCAUGUGAUGUUUAUCAUGUUUAUACAUCUUAUUUGCUUAGAACGACGGUAGUAAAUAAGAUGAUCCCUCAUUAAAAUUUCAAGAAAGUGUUUCCCCUAACUGUGCACCGUUGCGAAAGUUCGUCGUUUCGAAGCACCACGUGAUGAUCGGGUGUGAUAGAUUCUUACGUUCACAUACAACGGGUGUAAGCCAAAUUUACACACGCGAAACACUUAGGUUAACUUGACGAGCCUAGCAUGUACAGACAUGGCCUCGAAACACAAGAGACCGAAAGGUCGAGCAUGAGUCGGAUGGAGGAUAAGAUCAACAUGAAGAUGUUCACCGAUGAUGACUAGUCCGUCUCACGUGAUGAUCGGACACGGCCUAGUUGACUCGGAUCAUGUAAUCACUUAGAUGACUAGAGGGAUGUCUAUCUGAGUGGGAGUUCAUAAGAUGAACUUAAUUAUCCUGAACAUAGUAAAAAGACCCUUUGCAAAUUAUAUCAUAGCUCGCGCUUUAGUUCUACUGUUUUAGAUAUGUUCCUAGAGAAAAUAUAGCUGAAAGUUGACAGUAGCAAUUGUGCGGACAGUAGAAGGCUUAUGUCCUUAAUGCACUGCUCGGUGUGCUGAACCUUGAACGUCGUUUGUGGAUGUUGCGAACAUCUGACAUAUACGUUUUGAUAACUACGUGAUAGUUCAGUUAAAUGGUUUAGAGUUGAGGCACCAAAGACGUUUUUCAAAAAGUCGCGGAACAUAUGAGAUGUUUCGAGGGCUGAAAUUGGGAUUUCAGGCUCGUGCCCACGUCAAGAGGCAUAAGACCUCCGACGAUUCUCUUAGCCUGCAAACUAAGGGAUAAAAGCUCAAUCGUUGAGCUUGUGCUCAGAUUGUCUGAGUGCAACAAUCACUUGAAUCAAGUGGGAGUUGAUCUUCCAGAGAUAGUGAUGUUUCUCCAAAGUCAUUGCCACCAAGCUGCUAGAGCUUCGUGACGAACUAUAACAAAUCAGGGAUAGAUAUGAUGAUCCUUGAGAUAUUCGCGAUGUUUGACUCCGCGAAAGUAGGAAUCAAGAAGGAGCAUCAAUUGUUGAUGGUUGGUGAAACCACUAGUUUCAAGAAGGGCAAGGGAAAGAAUGGAUGCUUCAUGAAACGGCAAAACAGUUGCUGCUCUAGUGAAGACCCAAGGUUGAACCCAAACCCUAGACUAAGUGCUUCUGUAAUGAGAGGAACGGACACUAAAGCAGAACCACCCUAGAUACUUGGUAGAUAAGAAGGCAGGCAUGGUCGAUAGAAGUAUAUUGGAUAUACAUUAUGUUAAUGUGUACUUUACUAGUACUUCUAGUAGCACCAGGGUAUUAGAUACUGGUUCGGUUGCUAAGUGUUAGUAACUCGAAAUAAAAGGCUACGGAAUAAACUGAGACUAGCUAAAGGUGAGCUGACGAUAUGCGUUGGAAGUGUUUCCAAGGUUGAUGUGAUCAAGCAUCGCACGCUCCCUCUACCAUCGAGAUUGGUGCUAAACCUGAAUAGUGUUAUUUGGUGUUUGCGUUAAGCAUAGACAUGAUUGGAUUAUGUCUAUCGCAAUGCGGUUAUUCAUUUAAGGAGAAUAAUGGUUACUCUAUUUAUUUGAAUAAUACCUUCAAUGGCCUUACACCUAAAAGAAUGGUUUAUUGAAUCUCGAUCAUAGUGAUACACAUUUUCAUGCCAAAAGAUAUAAGAUAGUAAUGAUAGUACCACCUACUUGUGGCACUGUCAUGUAAGUCAUAUUGGUGUAAAACGCAUGAAGAAGCUCCAUGUUGAUGGAUCUUUGGACUCACUCGUUUUUGAAAAGUUUGAGACAUGCAAACCAUGUCUAUUGGUGCAUAUGCAUGAAGAAAAUCCAUGCAGAUGGAUCGUUUGGACUCACUUGAUUUUGAAUCACUUGAGACAUGCAAAUCAUGCCACAUGGGCAAGAUGACUGAAAGCCUCGUUUUCUGUAAAAUGGAACAAGAAAGCAACUUGUUGGAAGUAAUACAUUUUGAUGUGUGCAGUCCAAUGAGUGCGAAGGCAGGCAGUGGAUAUCGUUAUGUUAUUACUUCACGGAUGAUUUGAGUUGAUACAGAGUAUAUUUACUUGAUGAAACACAAGUCAGAAUUAUUGAAUGGAUCAAGUAAUUUCAGAGUGAAGCUGAAGGUCAUCGUGACAAGAGGAUAAAAUGUCUAUGAUAUGAUCAUAGAGAUGAGUAUCUGAGUUAUGAGAUUUGGCAUGCAAUUAAGACAUUGUGGAAAUUGUUUCACAAUUAAUACCGCCUGGAACACCAUAGUGUGAUGGUGUGUCCGAACAUCAUAGUUGCACCCUAUGGGAUAUGGUGCGUACCAUGAUGUCUCUUGUCGAAUUACCACUAUCGUUCAUGGGUUAGGCAUUAGAGACAACCGCACUCACUUUAAUAGGGCACCACGAAAUUCCAUUGAGACGACACUGUUUGAACUAUGGUUUGGAGAAACCUAAGUUGUCGUUUCUUAAAAGGUUUGGGGAUGCGACGCUUAUGUGAAAAAGUUUCAUAUUGAUAAGCUCGAACCCAAAGCGGAUAAAAUGCAUCUUCAUAGGACACCCAAAACAGUUGGGUAUGCCUCCUAAUUCAGAUCCGAAAGCAAUAGGGAUUGUUUCUUGUAUCGGGUCCUUUCUCGAGGAAAAGUUUGUCUCAAAAAAUUGAGUGGGAGGAUGGUGGAGACUUGAUAUGGUUAUUGAACCGUCAAUACAAUUAGUGUGUAGCAGGGCACAUGAAGUUGUUCCUGUGGCACCUACACCAAUUGAAGUAGAAGCUUAUUAUAGCGAUCAUGAAACUUCGGAUCAAGUCACUACCGUACCUUGUAAGGUGACAAGGAUGCGUACUACUUCAGAGUGGUACAGUAAUCCUAUCUUGAAGGUCAUGUUGCUAGACAAGAAUGAACCUACGAGCUAUGGAGAAGCGAUGGUGGGCCCAAAUUCCGACAAAUGGUUGGAAGCCAUGAAAUCCGAGAUAGGAUCCAUGUAUCAGAACAAAGCAUGGACUUUGGUGGACUUGCCCGAUGAUCGGCAAGCCAUUGAGAUAAAUGGAUCUUUAAGAAGAAGACGGACAUGGACGGUAAUGUCACCGUCUAUGAAGCUCGACUUGUGGCAAAGAGCUUUUCACAAGUUCAAGGAGUUGACUACGAUGAGAUUUUCUCAUCCGUAGCGAUGCUUAAGUCCGUUGGAAUCAUGUUAGCAUUAGCUGCAUUUAUGAAAUCUGGCAAAUGGAUGUCAAAAUGAGUUUCCUUACCAGUUUUUGUAAGGAAAGGUUGUAUGUGAUACAAUCAGAAAGUUUUUGUCGAUCCUAAGGAUGCUAAAAGGUAUGUUGGCUCCAACGAUCCUUCUAAGGACUGGAGUAAGCAUCUUGGAGUUGGAAUGUACGCUUUGAUGAGAUGAUCGAAGAUUUUGGGUUUAUACAAAGUUUAUGAGAAACUUGUAUUUCCAAAGAAGUGAGUGGGAGCACUAUAGAAUUUCUGAUGAGUAUAUGUUGUUGACAUAUUGUUGAUCAGAAAUAAUGUAGAAUUUCUGGAAAGCAUAUAGGGUUAUUUGAAAGGUGUUUUUUCAAUGGAAAACCUGGAUUAAGCUACUUGAACAUUGAGCAUCAAGAUCUAUGAGGAUAGAUCAAAACCGCUUAAUGGUACUUUCAAAUGAGCAUAUACCUUGACAUGAUCUUGAAGGUGUUCAAGAUGGAUCAGUCAAAGAAGGAGUUCUUGUCUGAGAUGUAAGGUACGAAGUUAAGACUUAAAGCUCGACCACGGCAGAAUAGAGAGAAAGGACGAAGGUCGUCCCCUAUGCUUCAGACGUAGGCUCUAUAGUAUGCUAUGCUGUGUACCGCACCGGAAGUGUUCCUUGCCAUGAGUCAGUCAAGGGGUACAAGAAUGAUCCAGGAAUGGAUCAUUGGACAGCGGUCAAAAUUGUCCUUGGAGUAAAUAAGGACAUGUUUCUCGAUUAUGGAGGUGAUAAAGAGUUCGGCGUAAAGGGUUACGUCGAUGCAAGCUUUAACACCUAUCCGAGUGACUCUGAGUAGCAAACCGGAUACGUAUAGUGGGGCAACCAUUUGGAAUAGCUCCAAGUGGAGUGUGGAAGCAGCAUUUACAAUAUGACCUAGAGAUUUGCGAAGUACAUACGGAUCUGAAUGUUACAGAUCCGUUGACUAAAACCUCUCUCACAAGUAAAACAUGAUCAAACCCCAGAACUCAUUGAGUCUUAAUCACAUGAUGAUGUGAACUGGUUUAGUGACACUAGUAAACUCUUUGGAUGUUGGUCACAUGGCGAUGUGACCUGUGAGUGUUAAUCACAUGGCGAUGUGAACUAGAUUAUUGACUCUAGUGCAAGUGGGAGACUGUUGGAAAUAUGCCCUAGAGGCAAUAAUAAAUUAGUUAUUAUUAUAUUUCCUUGUUCAUGAUAAUCGUUAAUUAUCCAUGCUAUAAUUGUAUUGAUAGGAAACUCAGAUACAUGUGUGGGUACAUAGACAACAUCAUGUCCCUAGUAAGCCUCUAGUUGACUAGCUCGUUGAUCAAUAGAUGGUGACGGUUUCCUGACCAUGGAUAUUGGAUGUCGUUGAUAAUGGGAUCACAUCACUAGGAGAAUGAUGUGAUGGACAAGACCCAAUCCUAAGCCUAGCACAAAGAUCGUAGUUCGUAUGCUAAAGCUUUUCUAAUAUCAAGUAUCGUUUCCUUAGACCAUGAGAUUGUGCAACUCCCAGAUACCGUAGGAAUGGUUUGGGUGUACCAAACGUCACAACGUAACUGGGUGGCUAUAAAGGUGCACUACACGUAUCUCUGAAAGUGUCUGUUGGGUUGGCACGAAUCAAGACUGAGAUUUGUCACUCCGGUUGACGGAGAGGUAUCUCUGGGCCCACUCGGUAGGACAUCAUCAUAAUGUGCACAACGUGACCAAGGGGUUGAUCACGGGAUGAUGUGUUACGGAAGGAGUAAAGAGACUUGCCGGUAACGAGAUUGAACAAGGUAUCGGCAUACCGACGAUCGAAUCUCGGACAAAGGGAAUUGUAUACGGGAUUGCUUGAAUCCUUGACAUCGUGGUACAUCCGAUGAGAUCAUCGUGGAACAUGUGGGAGCCAACAUGGGUAUCCAGAUCCCGCUGUCGGUUAUUGACCGGAGAACGUCUCGGUCAUGUCUGCAUGGUUCCCGAACCCGUAGGGUCUACACACUUAAGGUUCGAUGAUGCUAGGGUUAUAAAGGAAGUUUGUAUGUGGUUACUGAAUGUUGUUCGGAGUCCCGGAUGAGAUCUUGGACAUCACGAGGAGUUCCGGAAUGGUCCGAAGGUAAAGAUUUAUAUAUGGGAAGUCCUGUUUUGUCACCGGAAAAGUUUCGGGUUUUAUCGGUAAGUACCGGGACCACCGGGAGGGUCCCGGGGGUCCACCAAGUGGGGCCACCAUCCCCGGAGGGCUGCAUGGGCCAUGUGUGGGAGGGGACCAGCCCCAGGUGGGCUGGUGCGCCCCCACAAGGGCCCAAGUCGCCUAGGGUUUGGGGAGGGGGCGCCUCCACCUGAUUUGGGGGGGCAAGUUUCCCCCUCUCCCCCCCUUGGUCGCCCCCCUAGAUGGGAUCUAGGGCUGGCCGCCGCCCCUAGGGGUGGAAACCUAGGUGGGGGCGCAUCCCCCUCUUCCCCUAUAUAUAGUGGAGGCAAAGGAGCAGCCCAACACAUGAAGUUUUUCUCCUGUUGGCGCAACCCUACCUCUCUUUCUCCUUAUAUCUCGCGGUGCUUGGCGAAGCCCUGCGGGAUUGCCACGCUCCUCCUCCACCACCACGCCGUUGUGCUACUGCUGGACGGAGUCUUCCCCAACCUCUCCCUCUCUCCUUGCUGGAUCAAGGCAUGGGAGACGUCACCGGGUUGUACGUGUGUUGAACGCGGAGGUGCCGUCCGUUCGGCACUAGGAUCUUCGGUGAUUUGGAUCACGACGAGUACGACUCCUUCAACCCUAUUCUCUUGAACGCUUCCGCUUAGCUAUCUACAAGGGUAUGUAGAUGCACUCUCCUUCCCCUCGUUGCUGGUUUCUCCAUAGAUAGAUCUUGGUGAUAUGUAGGAAGAUUUUGAAUUUCUGCUACGUUCCCCAACAAUUUCGUCCGUCGCCGUUCGUUUGGGUCACAGCAGACAGAAAAGGCGGCCCAACGCGCCCACCCAAACGGACGUGCAUCUGCUUUUCGUCCGCCUGCUGACCCAUUCCCGGCCUAUUUUUGAGCAGCAUUUGCGUCGGCAUGGACACAAUACGGACGCGCGUGCACUCGCCCUCUCUUCUCCCCUGGCCCGCUGGUCGGUGGCACAUUGGCCUCUCCCCAUCCAACAACACACUCUCGCCCGCCUGCUUCGUCGCCGACGCCGCUGGCCAUUUUUUCCGAUAGAGAAAGAAUACAUAGAUAGUUCUAGCAUAGACAGAUAAAAGAAAAGAUCAACUACUCGUCGUUUUCCGACUCUAACUCGGUAAUGUCCUCCUCCGACGUCUGAAUGUAGGCGUCAUCAUAUCGCUCGUCCUCGGAGUACCAGGAUGACGCUUCUCCUAGCUUCAUGUUCAAUUGAGCGGCCUGCUUCCGCGCACGCUUGUCCUCCUGAUAGGCGGCUCACUCCGUCCUCCUCGCCCCCCUCUCCAUCCUCCUUUGCUUGUAGAACAGGUGCUCGUUGACGAUGUCCUGCGGGAAGCGUUCGCGCCACACCGCCAUGUCUUUCACGUCCAUCUCGACGAUGGCGAGGCGACGCUGCCGCCUCCGGUUGUCACGACGCUCUUCGUCGGUGAAAAGCCGCGGGAGAGGCGCGAGAUCCUGCGCUCGCUGGCUCGUCGACACGUCCGAAAAAUUCAUCUCCCGACUAGGCCACCAGAGGCGCCACGCCGCGGUGUCGAAGGUGCCGAGCGUUUAUCGGCAAACCAGAUCUCGGAGGAGAAGGCACCGGAGCGGCGCUCGCGGACUCUGCGAAAAUCCAAAGCGCCUAGGUGGCGCAUAGACGGCGAGGCUAGUGAGAGGGGGCAAGACGAGUGGGCGACGGACAGAGUGUGAAGGGAGCGUCUUCUUAUAACGAGCGCCGGCCGCAGCGCGGCAAAACCAGCGCGCGCUAGGCCGAUUUUUCUCCGCACGCGCAAACCUUUCCCGCGUGCUCGAGCGCCAAACCAGGGCGACGACAUGGCCGCUGGCAUGAUUUAUGUGCACGCAGUCAUGAAAUGGGUCGGCGGGUUGGGCGCACUGCCAACCUAAAUCUAAAAGAGUGCGAACGCCGGGCGGCCGGCCGAUCCAAACGAAUAAAAAACGGAUAAAAAUGUUGUCUGUUCGGGUCGGCGCAUUGGAGUUGUUCUUAGUCGCACGACUUGCGGGCCACCACUCCACUAAAGUUGCAUCCAGACUAGGCACGAGCUGGCCGGGACCGCAACGCGAGAGAGUAGAGUGCCAAACUACUCUGGCAAACACGCAUCGGCUUCAGAAGACAUCCUCAAUCAACUGCAAUUUGUGACACCACCGCACCGUGAAAUCAGCUGCCAUCAGCUGGAAAAUGACAUCCAAGGUAACCCCAGAAUCAACCAUCCAUCUCACAACAUUUUCCUAAAAAGGGACGCGACGUCCAUCUCGCUAAUAGAAGUUGGAUAGAAUUAUUGGUUCCACACCACACAUAUAUAUGCGUCAAACCAAAUACGUACGUCAUGACCCCAUUAUUUCAACAUUGUGAUCAUACCAAUACCGGAAGGAAUUCGAAGCAUAUGUUUUUCACUGAAAUCUUCCUACCGUGCACCGCGUCGCACGCGGGGUCAGCCCUUGGGCGCCACGCAGAGCCCGUCGUGUCGACACCACACGAAAUGCAAGAUAUUCGCCUCCUUCCUCCUUCCCAUGAUCGAUCGAGCUAUUUUAUGUGCAGGCGGAGGGUCCGGGAGAAGAUCGAGAGCAAGGGCAAAUUAGCAGACGCAAGCACCGACCACACGUCCUGCUAUAGAAAAUGUUACAUGGACGUACGUACCGACAUGUGUGUGUAUGUGUGUCCAGUAAAAGAUCCGGCUAUAUCUAAUUGUGGCGAGAGCUGGUUUUCCACAUGCAGACGUAGGAAGGCGACGAAACCGGAGGUCCGGCGACGAUGACACUGAGUCCUUGACGGACAACCACAUGGUUUCAGAGAAAAAUCUCUCCCGCCGGCCGGCCGUCGCCCGCCGUUGUGUUUUGAGCCGUGUAUCGUCGGCGUGGAACGUUAUAUGGAGUACGGACCAGCCCGUACGAACGGUACCGAUCAUACGGAUGCGGCAUAUCGAACGUACGCGGUGCGUGCCGGCCGGUUGAUGCAAACCACAUGCAUGCGGGUGCCGUGUGGGGCGCGAGGCCGUGUGGGGGUGAGCUCGUGGACCACGCGGGCGCGCCCUGUGCCGGCCGCGUACACCGGACGUCGUGGCUGGCAGUGCAUGUGCAUGCAGCCAGUGCAGUGCUGCCCUCCCGGCCGGCUCCCUCCUUUCUUUGGCUCUCAUCGGUCGGAAAAAUAUUCCACCGGCCAUCACAAAUUCUCACGUACAUCGAUCGAACAGGCUACGUUGCAGCUCGUCCUCAACUGCGGUCAACCACCGGCGUUGGAUGGCGCUGUGGGGCACCAACGCGCCAGGGAAAGUGUUGAUCCAUGUGUGGCGUUUGAUCAAGAACGGUUUGGUGGUAGGUUCUGAGCUUCUUCGCAGAAGGAUCAAGCCCGGUGUUUUCUGCCCGGCGUGUGGUAGGGAAGAAACGUUAUAUCACAGAUUUUGGGGCUGCUACCAUUCCAUACUCUUUUGGAAGGAGCUGAACUCGGUAUUGGGUGCAAGGGUGGCGAUCCCACCUCGGUCGACGGACACCCAGAGUUCGGUUGCAUCAUGGUUACUUCAGUGGUUAACGGAUGCUUCAGAGGAUGAGAAAUCAGCGAUGGCUCAGGGCCUAUAUGCGAUAUGGCUGGCAAGGAAUGAAACCCGUGAUGGAAAAAGAAUUGAGGAGGCCAACAUGGUGGCGAGGAGAGUAGCAGUGAUCAUCGAGGAAUGGAAGCAAGUUCGGGGCCAGAAGGAGAUCCAAACACCUCCUACCCAACGCGCUAGCUGGGAACCACCGGCAUCGGGAUGGCUCAAGGCCAACGUCGAUGGCGCUCUGUCUCGGACGGGGCAAGGUGGAGGUGGCGGCGUGGUGUUCAGAGAUGAGGAGGGAGUUUUCAGAGGUGCGGAUACAGUCUUUCACCCGGAUAUCACAUCGGCAGAAGUGGCGGAGCUAUUGGCAUGCAGGAGGGCGAUCGAGCUAGCUCUGCAAAGAGAUGUACACAAACUACACCUGGAGACCGACUGCCUUAAUGUGGCCAGGAUGCUAAAUGAGCAAGUUCGAAAUCUGUCGGCGGUGGGUAUCUUGGUGGAAGAAAUCAAAAUGAUGACCACAAACUUGGGCGAAUUUAGAGCUACAUGGGUGAGAAGGGAGGCGAAUAAAGCGGCUCAUGAGAUUUGCCCAUUUCGGUUUCUGUAAUAAUGUUUCGGUGUCGUGGGAGUUGUCCCCACAGAUUGUAUUCUAAGCAUUGUUUUUGAUGAACUUCCUAAUUUAGUUUAAUAAAGUCGGGAAGUGAUUAUCAAAAAAAAAAAAACUCGCCCGGAAGUUGCCGGCGCGACCCCAUCAUGGACUACGGAGGAGACAACUCGGAGACCUCUACUCUUCCACGGUAGUUGCCACGCCCAAUCACGACCCGAAACGCAUUCACGUCGUCGCCCUCGGUGGCGCGACGGGCGCCAUGUUCGGCCGGAACUUGGGAGUUGGAUGGACCCUCCCAAGGGUUAGGUGACAAAGGUGGCGGUGUUCUCGUACAGUCCCUCCACCGGCCGGCGCAUGUAGCUCUGACCCGGACGUCGCAGCGUGGCACUAGAAUCACACGUAGUACUGCUCCUACAGGGUUCUGCUUUUUGUUGACGUGCAUGUCCCGCUUAAUUGAUUGUAAGUAUACGGAGUUUAAUCAAGGGCCACCCAUUCCUCGUUGGGUGGGUCUAGCCUGGGGUUUAUGGACAUUGAUAAUGCUGGGAUGGUGGUCGAGGGACCAGUCGGCGUGGAUCGGAAGGUAGGCUCGUGGCGCAGAUGCAUCGAUCGAUCACUCUCACCGGUUGGUACGCUGCCGAGUACUGCGGAGCAGACGCAUGCAUGCAGGGCCGGCCCUAUGUUUCGAAGGGCCCUUGGGCGAACUCGAUAACGUGGGCCCUAAUACUAUAUGUAUAUGUUUGUGUUUGCACACUAUAUAAACAUGUGUAUGUCUAACUUCAUUGGCAAAAUAUUAAUCGUAAAUUUUCAUUCAUACAUCAUCAGUUUGAAAUGUCUAAUAAUAAUUGUUAGGAAUGUCAUAUUACGAUAGAAAAACUAAAAAGAUAGGAAAAUGAAAUUGCCAUGAUUACCUGAAAUGAGAACCAAAUUCUAGUGACUCCUGAUCGGGAUUAGUUUCUUGCUCCCCUUCUUCAUUGACAUCAACAUUUCUUGAAAAUGAAAAACUUUUCUAAAGAACCCUUUUGCCUUUCAAUUAGGAGAUUGUUCAUUUCUUUUUCUCUGUUUUGC
rnacentral:lncRNA from 1 species